rnacentral:rRNA from 1 species
AUACGUAGGGAGCGAGCGUUGUCCGGAUUUACUGGGUGUAAAGGGUGCGUAGGCGGGUCUGCAAGUCAGACGUGAAAUACCGGGGCUUAACUCCGGGGCUGCGUUUGAAACUGUAGAUCUUGAGUGAAGUAGAGGUAAGCGGAAUUCCUAGUGUAGCGGUGAAAUGCGUAGAUAUUAGGAGGAACACCAGUGGCGAAGGCGGCUUACUGGGCUUUAACUGACGCUGAGGCACGAAAGCGUGGGGAGCAAACAGGAUUAGAUACCCUGGUAGUCCACGCUGUAAACGAUGAUUGCUAGGUGUGGGGGGUCUGAUCCCCUCCGUGCCGGAGUUAACACAAUAAGCAAUCCACCUGGGGAGUACGACCGCAAGGUUGAAACUCAAAGGAAUUGACGGGG